UGAGAAUGAUGUCACAAUGCCAUCACUUUAGGUGACGGGGGAGGGAUUGGUUAUUGGAAGGACACACUGGAAAUCCCAGCAUCCACAGCAGACAUUUGCAGAGAGCUAGAACAUCAGCUGUGGCCAUACGGGACCUAGCAGGAAGGAACAGAGGUGAAAAGCUUUUACAGUUUUCCGGACUGGCCUCUUGAAGAUGCUUUUGGGAGCUACUUCUGGAAGCUGCGCAGAGGCUCUGGGUGGAUUUGAGCUUACAAAGGUAUAGAGAAGUUUGAAGCCAGAUAGACAGCCUUCAGCACCUAUACAGAGAACUGACCCUCUGACAAAGGAUUCUGCUGGAACAAGAGGUCAGGUGAGCCAUGUGUAGGCUGUGACUCUGACAGGAGUGGCCCAGGACGUCUGUCUUACUGUGGGUGUGGGUAUGAGGCCUCCUGAAGGAGGGAUCAAGCCCAGGCUGUCUGUUUUGAGCCUGGCAUCCUUGAAGCACAGUAGCUCUCAGGUAGCUGUGUGGCCAGCAUGAGUGACUUUUCCCUCUGGACUCUGCAGGCCCAUCACUGCAGGCAGAGGCAUGCUGGAGGAAGAGGGGCAGAGAAGAAUUGACAGAACUUCCCCAGCAGAGGCUGCCAGAGGCCACACAGUUCCUCACACUGGUGUCACCUGCUUUAAGGGUAUGGGGACAAUGGCUGGUCCUGAAGCUGGAAUGGAGGCCCAGCCUGGCCUCCCCAUGUGCAGCCCUGGGCCUCCUGGGGUCUGUACCUUGAGAGUCAUGGAGUCUAUCCAAGUCUCUAUGACUAUUUGGGGAGAGAGUUGCCACUGAGAAGCCAGCCUGUGGAGCCCCAGGAAACCCACCUCUUACCUUGAUAUAUGAUACACUCAGCCUAUGGCCGCAGCAAGGGCUUAGCAGUCCCAGUAUAGUUCCUGGAACAGCCAUGGACUCUCUCAUGCUCACAAAGCCUGGAGGCUACCAGCCAAAGCAAGAGAGCCUGAGAGCACUGGCUGUAAGCCCUUGAAAAUCACAUGGGCCAUGUCUUUAUCCUAUAGAGGAGUGGACUAGGCUCAUAGUGACUGAAGACUUGUUGCACGGACAGUUAGGGACACAGCUGCAGCUGACCCCAAGUCUCUUGACUUCUCUCUUGGCAGAUGAAGAUGCCGAGAGGCAGGCACGUGGCAUACCGCAAAUGGCAACUUACAGGAUGCCCUGGAGACUCAGGUUUUUCUUUAAAAGUGUGUCUGAGGAAGUGAGAGUGUGGCCCCUCCUUACCCGUUGGAACAGUUCUCCUCCAGGCAGGCCCAAGAAAGUUGUGGAAGGGCAGCCAAGCAAGAAACAA